ensembl:snRNA U6 U6 spliceosomal RNA
GUGAUCGCUUUGGCAGCACAUACACUAAAAUUGGAACAAUACAGAGAAGGUUAGCAUGGCCCUUGUGCAAGGAUGAGACGUAAAUUCAUGAAGUGUUCCAUAUUUUU